rnacentral:rRNA from 6 species
CAAAACGGAGAGUUUGAUCCUGGCUCAGGAUGAACGCUGGCGGUAUGCUUAACACAUGCAAGUCGAACGGAAUCUUC